AGGUAAGCUACUAAGAGCGAAUGGUGGAUGCCUUGACUGGUAAAGGCGAUGAAGGACGUACUAGACUGCGAUAAGCUAGGUAGAGCUGUCAAGAAGCUUUGAUGCCUAGAUUUCCGAAUGGGGCAACCCAAUGUAUAGAGAUAUACAUUACCAUAAUGGAGCGAACGAGGGGAAUUGAAACAUCUUAGUACCCUCAGGAAAAGAAAUCAAAAGAGAUUGCGUCAGUAGCGGCGAGCGAAAGCGCAAGAGGGCAAACCCAGUGCUUGCACUGGGGGUUGUAGGACUGCAAUGUGCAAUAGGAAAGGUUAGCAGAACACUCUGGAAAGUGUAGCCAUAGAGGGUGAUAGUCCCGUAUGCGAAAACCUAACCUUAGCUAGCAGUAUCCUGAGUAGGGCGGAACACGAGAAAUUCUGUCUGAAGCUGGGUAGACCACUAUCCAACCCUAAAUACUACUACCAGAUCGAUAGCGAACAAGUACCGUGAGGGAAAGGUGAAAAGAACGGCGGUGAGCCGAGUGAAAUAGAACCUGAAACCAUUUGCUUACAAUCAUUCAGAGCACUAUGUAGCAAUACAGUGUGAUGGACUGCCUUUUGCAUAAUGAGCCUGCGAGUUGUGGUGUCUGGCGAGGUUAAGCACACGCGAAGCCGUAGCGAAAGCAAGUCUUAAUAGGGCGCUUAGUCAGAUGCUGCAGACCCGAAACGAAGUGAUCUAUCCAUGAGCAGGUUGAAGCUAGUGUAAGAACUAGUGGAGGACCGAACCCGCUAGCGUUGAAAAGCUAUGGGAUGACUUGUGGAUAGGGGUGAAAGGCCAAUCAAACUUCGUGAUAGCUGGUUCUCUCCGAAAUAUAUUUAGGUAUAGCGUUGUGUCGUAAUAUAAGGGGGUAGAGCACUGAAUGGGCUAGGGCAUACACCAAUGUACCAAACCCUAUCAAACUCCGAAUACCUUAUGUGUAAUCACAGCAGUCAGGCGGCGAGUGAUAAAAUCCGUCGUCAAGAGGGAAACAACCCAGACUACCCGCUAAGGUCCCCAAAUCUUACUUAAGUGGAAAACGAUGUGAAGUUACUUAAACAACCAGGAGGUUGGCUUAGAAGCAGCCAUCCUUUAAAGAAAGCGUAAUAGCUCACUGGUCUAGUGAUUUUGCGCGGAAAAUAUAACGGGGCUAAAGUAAGUACCGAAGCGGUAGGCUUGUGCUUA
rnacentral:rRNA from 1 species